CAACUCUGCCCAAAUCCAGGAAACUUCUGAAAACUUGGACUGUAAGUGCCAAAGCAACAGCAUCUCAGGAUAUCUACCAUACUUCACAUCUGAAGGGAGCUUCUCAAGCGAUCUUCCAAAGGACUGUGGCGAGGUCUUCAGCUGAGGACAGAAAUCCAGUGGCCUGUAUGCCGUUAAACCUCAAGAGUCACAACCGUUUCUUGUGAAUUGUGAAUUCACUGGGAAGGGAGUGUUAACUGUCAUCCAGCGCAGACAUGAUGGCUCUGUGGACUUUGACCUGUCCUGGGAGAAGUAUGAGGAUGGAUUUGGGGACUUCAGUAGUGAGUUAAAUCAAGAAUGUUGUGCUCAUAAACUGAAUAUGUUCCGCCUGUGAUUAUAGAGUGGAGCACAAUGGAGUGCUCUGUGAUUAGUGUUGAGAAGUCUGAAACUUAACACCCUAUUUUUAGUAUCACUUUUUACUACAUAAUUUCACAGUAUGUCCAAUUUGA